rnacentral:rRNA from 1 species
CAAGUAGAACGCUGAAGGAGGAGCUUGCUCUUCUGGAUGAGUUGCGAACGGGUGAGUAACGCGUAGGUAACCUGCCUGGUAGCGGGGGAUAACUAUCGGAAACGAUAGCUAAUACCGCAUAAGAGUAGAUGUUGCAUGACAUUUGCUUAAAAGGUGCAAUUGCACCACUACCAGAUGGACCUGCGUUGUAUUAGCUAGUUGGUGGGGUAACGGCUCACCAAGGCGACGAUACAUAGCCGACCUGAGAGGGUGAUCGGCCACACUGGGACUGAGACACGGCCCAGACUCCUACGGGAGGCAGCAGUAGGGAAUCUUCGGCAAUGGACGGAAGUCUGACCGAGCAACGCCGCGUGAGUGAAGAAGGUUUUCGGAUCGUAAAGCUCUGUUGUAAGAGAAGAACGAGUGUGAGAGUGGAAAGUUCACACUGUGACGGUAUCUUACCAGAAAGGGACGGCUAACUACGUGCCAGCAGCCGCGGUAAUACGUAGGUCCCGAGCGUUGUCCGGAUUUAUUGGGCGUAAAGCGAGCGCAGGCGGUUAGAUAAGUCUGAAGUUAAAGGCUGUGGCUUAACCAUAGUACGCUUUGGAAACUGUUUAACUUGAGUGCAAGAGGGGAGAGUGGAAUUCCAUGUGUAGCGGUGAAAUGCGUAGAUAUAUGGAGGAACACCGGUGGCGGAAGCGGCUCUCU